UACGUAGGGUGCAAGCGUUGUCCGGAUUUAUUGGGCGUAAAGAGCUCGUAGGCGGCUCGUCGCGUCGACCGUGAAAACCUAGGGCUUAACCCUGGGCUUGCGGUCGAUACGGGCGGGCUAGAGUUCGGUAGGGGAGACUGGAAUUCCUGGUGUAGCGGUGAAAUGCGCAGAUAUCAGGAGGAACACCGGUGGCGAAGGCGGGUCUCUGGGCCGAUACUGACGCUGAGGAGCGAAAGCGUGGGGAGCGAACAGG
rnacentral:rRNA from 1 species